rnacentral:rRNA from 1 species
UACGUAGGGUGCAGGCGUUAAUCGGAAUUACUGGGCGUAAAGCGUGCGCAGGCGGUUUCUUAAGUCAGAUGUGAAAGCCCCGGGCUUAACCUGGGAACUGCGUUUGAAACUGGGAGACUUGAGUGUGGCAGAGGGGGGUGGAAUUCCACGUGUAGCAGUGAAAUGCGUAGAUAUGUGGAGGAACACCGAUGGCGAAGGCAGCCCCCUGGGUUUACACUGACGCUCAUGCACGAAAGCGUGGGGAGCAAACAGG